GAAAAAUAAAACAUCAAGUAUUUUAUCAUGAAAAAAAAAUAAAAUUAUAUGCCUCUAGCUGAUAUAUAAGUGAUCCCAUUUUAAUUAAACCAAAUCAGGUUUUAAUGCAGAAUCCAAAGAACAAUUGCAUGAUCUGAUUUUUGUUUUGUUUUGCUUUUGGUUCCAUCAAAGAAUUGUGAUAUUAUUUAGUUACUAUGACAGCAGAAAAGCUGUCAGGUUAGCUUAACAUUUUUGUCAAGUUAAAAUCAGUGUAUUUCAAGAAUGAUCUGACAUAACCAAUAAAACUCUUUCCUGUGUUUUUGUCUGUGUUAGGUGGAUCACUCGCCAUAGAUAAUUCAAGCCAACAUACAAUAUAUGAUGCAAAUAUUAGUAGUGUCCAAAGACAAUCCAUUGAAAAUGGAGCUGUAUAACAUCUGGUUUUGCCUGAUUGCCUCAAAUAUAAUUGGAAAACAACUGCUCAGGUACAGUUUGUAUUUUAUUGGAUGAAUGGGCAAAAUGGGAAUCAAAAUCCCAAUUAAUUUUUGAAAUGUUGGUAGAGUAUCUUAGCAAUCUAAAGCAAGGCCAAGUUGCUCACUUGGAAAAGAUGAUACCAAGAAUUUAAACAUAAAUGAAAAGGAUUUGAUGAUACUCCCAUCAGUACAUUUCGUGUAUACAAUUGUAACAUUGCUUGGAAAAUUACAAGAAAAACAUCUUGGAAAAAUCUAUAAGGAUACUGCUAAAAAAGUCAAGAUUCAAAAAUGUCAUUUUCAUGUCAAUAAUAUUGCCAAACCACUACGAUAAAUACGUUAGAUUACAAGUUGUGUUGAUUAUAAAUUAUAGUUUCAAGUGCUGGUUGAGGUAUGUAUAUUUCUAUUUCAUUUCAUGGUCAUCACCAUUCCACAUUAUACAUCUCUCAUCCUCCAAUCAAAUUCUAUCAAGAAUACAUACCCAUAAUUAAAGGGAAAAAGAAAAAGAAAUUAGAAAAGUCAAUCGAAAGAAUCAUUCCAAACUAUCAUCGCCUGAACAUCAUUAUCAUCACCAUUGUUGAAAAUUGUUUAGAUCAUCAUGGCCAUGAAAAUCUAUCAGUAAAUGUUAUUGACACAAUAUAAUUGAAAAGAAAGGAUGGACCUUGGACUUGAUCAUCAUAUUAAUCAAAUUUGUCAUCAAUAAUAACAACAGUUUAUAAUAAGGUUAGCUAUAUACCAAGAAAAUCAGAAGCAGAUUUAGCCAUGAUAUUAGCAAACUCAUUAAAACUAAUAACGCCAUCUCCAUUUGUAUCAGCCUCUCUCAUCAUUUCCGAGAGCUCUUUAUACGUUAAAGGAUGACCCAUUUUAGCCAUUGAGCCAGCAAGUUCAGCUGCAGUUAUAUAUCCAUUACCAUCCCUAUCAAAUGAUCUGAAUACCUCUAACAAUUGUUCUUGGUUGAUCAACACAUCUUCAUUCAUAUCAGGCAAUAUAGCAUUCACCAACUCAUCAAACUCCACGUAACCAUUGCCAUUCGCAUCCAUAUUUGAUAGCAGAAUUUGGAGUUGGUCACCUGUUGGUUUCAGACCAAGAGAUCGAAGAAGAGCUGC
rnacentral:lncRNA from 1 species